CCCUCCUCCUCCUCUCUCACCCCUCCCCUUCUCGCACGCGCUGCCGCCGCGAUCGGUUUGGUAGGUAGAUCUCUCUCCCGCGCGUCUCCGAUCUGCCCCGCGGGAUGUCCCGGAGCCGGUUGCUGGCCUGUGCUUCGACCCCUUCCGCAUCAGACCGUGUCUCUACGGGAUCUGCCGCUGAAUCGAAGCCUUCUGGUCUUGGUGGUUUUUUUUGUUUGUUUGUCUGUCGCCUGCAAGCAACUAUUUAAACUGUGCAUCUCUGAAACUAUAGUAGCACCUAUUCUCAAAGCGAAAGUUAGAACUUUCAGUGAUCUGUACGUUAUCAUCUUGCCAUGUGCUUGUCUAAAUAAGAAAAUAGCAGACUAAGGCUAUUAUUUGGUUGCCAAGUUAUUAUGAUGACCAUACUACUGUUGUAUGCGAAGCUGUGAACAGAGAAUCUUGCUUUUGGUUUUGGUGCAUGUGCAUGCUAUUUAUUUAUUUUUUGCACUUGGGUAAUAUAUUUCUGAACAACUCAAUCAUAGAGACUUCACUUGCGGAAUAUUCUGAAGCUGUAAAUUUGGAUUUUGUUAUCAUAGAUGUCGUUUAUUUAAUAGCUAAACCCAUACACAGUAGACAGUACAAAUUUAGUUAUGAAGUUUCAGUCUAAAAUGAUGACCUUUUUUUCGUAAAAUGUUAGCAACUCUAAAACAUAUAGGUUCAUCGUGAGUAUAUCUGAAGAAAUUUAGGCAUCUAGCUUGGAUUCAUCUAAAAAAUUCAAAUGUAUGCAUUAGAUUUCAGUGUGCUUCUCAGUAAUGUGGUCAAUUAGAGAGUUAAACAUUUCACCUUAUGUCUGAAACAUUUUGUUAUCAAUUUAGCAUGGCUACUCUGAAUAUGGGAGGUACAUGCUGUCACUCCAUUAUGGCAGUGAGCUGUAUAGCCGCCGGGCGAGCAGUGGUGGCUGGCCGGAGCACCGCAGACUGUCGCUCGCACCGCCGCCGCUUGUCCUGCUGUCGCUUGGAGCAGUGGCUAGUGAGCUCCGUCAGUCCUACACGUCUCCUAUUGUUCCUAAAAAAGAUAGUGUAUAUUCCUAUGAAGAUUUUGCAGCAACAGAGAAGUUGACCUCUAGGAUGGAGGCAGCGGGAGAGCACUGCCGGCAGACAGCAGGGAUUGAAGUGUGGAUGACAACAAAGCACAUGCGGUCAGCAGCGGCCGGAAGAGGCAAGUGGACUGCGUCACGCGUGAGUCGGGUGACGACGUCAUGUUCUCACUCUACACCACCUUGCCUAAAGCGAAGGUCAAAAACGAAGAAGUCUGACUUUAUUUUGUAUUGCUGGUGGUUUAUUUAAAAGGAAGAUAUGAUAUCUAGAUUUUUUGCUAAACCUGGGUGUUUCUUAUAUGAAAAGGUUCACUUUUGCAUCAAGGUUCAGUCAAGUGAUGAUGAUUAUGCGGAUUCGGAUGACACCACACCUAAACACCAUAUUAUCAGUCACCUGUUCUGCAUCUCCGGGUCACAUAUGGGCACAGGACCUGUUACAACAAAUACUUCGCCACCAACUGGAAAAAUUUGGGUACAUUCUGGAGAAUGUAAGAUGUUGAAUGUUGAUACGCCAGUAUUAUUUUGGGUGUUAUGUGGUGUCAGAUUAUGCAAGCAUCGGAAUUUUGAACGAAAAUAGUGGUCUUAGGGUCCUCAUAAUGGAGAUAAUAUACAGUCAAGCCCGGUCGACUAUGCGAGCCCUUGGUUCUGAGGUAGCUCCAUUAUUUGUGUGCCUUGCUUUUCUUGUCCAUGUUACUCAUUCAAAUUCAUCGAGGCAAGAGUUGGAAAAAAAAUUGAUGGUAUGAACCCAGCCAUAUGGUAUCAGGAUGGUCUUAAUUCUCUUAUGGAUUUGAUUUUUGAGUAUAAUUUUAUGAUUAGACCCAGGCCUGAAAUUAUUAGAAGAGCUGUUCCAGAUCUAAAACUAUUAAAAGAGCUAUAUAUGGUGCCUAUUUCCAGGUAUGAAACUAUUAUCGUUGAUGCCAUUUAUUUAAGGGCUAACUCCAUACACAAUACCAGUUUAGUUAUGAAGUUUCAGUUUCAGUUUCAGGCUAAGAAAAUGAAUUUUUGUUCAUAAGAUGUUAGCAAUUCAAAAACAUGGAGGGUUGUUCAUCGUGAAUUUAUCUGAAUAAAUUGAGGCAUCUAGAUUGGGUUCAUCUAAAAAAGUAAACAUACGAAUAAGAUUUCUGUGUGCUUUUCGGUGCAUGUGGUCAAUUAGAGAGUUAAGCAUUUAAUGUGCUAGGACUAGAUGGUUAACCAUCUCUCUUACUUAGAUACCUGUGAUUGGGUUAAUCUUUGUUCUUUGGUUAUUAACUAAUAGACUAUAGAACAAUGGUAUUUUUUUUCCGGUACAUUAUGAUGCUAAUAACAUAGUACUGUUUAUACAUUUUUUUGGACGAUGCUUGCUUAGAAAAUUCAUGCGCAUCCAGGAGUUCAUUUCUUGGAUGAUGUUUGUGCUAAAUACCAAGUCGCACCACAAGAGCCUGGGGGCGUGCUGAUUGUUUGCCUUUUCUGUUUCACAACAGCUAGGCAUUGCUAAUUUUGGCUGAUGAAUCACUCCCUCAUCUAUUAAAAAGUGCCUGGCUGUUUGAGAUAAUCACGACUGGCAAAUUUCAUGGAGAUGAUCUGAUAGAAUGAAGUAGCAACAAUCAGUACAUUAUGGUUGUUUUAUGAAAACUGACCGUGUUAUCAGGUGCAACUGACAGUUGUCCGGCUGCAACUAGAAGGCAUCCCUCAUCUGCACAAUGGAAAUAGCAACAAUAAGUGAAGACUCGCAGUUGCAAUCUCACUAGAAAAUUGAGAUGAAAAGGAAGAAAAGGAAAAUUGUCGAAAUAUCGUGAGAUUCCAGGCUUCAGUAAGAACGUAGGUUGGAGCUGCACGGAGACCAACGGAGGUUGACGAAGAGGCCAGGGCUGGAAGUGUUGGAGAGAGACCCUAGACUGCAGCUGAGUCUUAUGGAGGUUGUGUUGUCUGCCUAGGGUCCAUGAGGCAGCUGUUUGUUCGCCGCCCAUGGCUGCUUCGGCUUGCGUCAACCACGUCGGCUUGGGGAGUUGCCAGAAGAGGGAAAUAUCAGGGGCGUGCUGCAGUAGAAGUCGUCGACGACAUCGAUGGAGAAGGUGCAGCCCCUGAGGCGAGAGGCGGGGAUGCAGGUGUGUGAGCUGCCGCUUGUUGUCGGUUGGGAGAAAGGGGAUGUGAGGACGACAGAGGGAGAUACAAAGUGGAGAGGGUGGGUGUUGAAGCAGCGCAACACAAACUGUGGCCGUGGCCUGUCCCGAAGCCGUCCAAGAAACUGCAGAAUUGAGUAUGGGAUGCAUCCACAUCAAAACUAAUUAUAAGAAUCUGGUCACAGGCACUUUAGAGCCGCGAGUGGCAUUUGACACCUCAAGGUGUUACUUAUCGUGAUAUUCGAUCGUUUGUUCCAUUAAAUUUUAUUUCAGCAGAGUUUUUGUUUUGCCAAAGAGGCUGUAAUAAGCCCAUGCCCUUGCAGCCUACGGUGCUAGGCAGACUGAUCCUGACGAUGUUCAUGUGAUGGUGGCUAGAGAAUUAGUUGUGCCUGUCUAA